rnacentral:lncRNA from 1 species
GUGUUUGCUUCUGGGCUCCUCAGGAGCACUCUGCAGCCCCCGACAGUAACGCUGGUGGAGAGCAGUAAGCGGAGUUAAUCACACCCUUCCUCUCAAGGAGAGUCCACUCCUCUUUCCGGAUGGAGUCUGCAGAAGCUUCCAUUGGUUCCAGCUGAAGCCAAAAGCAGUCAUGUAUAGAGGACACGGAAUGGGCUGAUCUGAGCCUCUGUCAUUCCGUGGGAAGAUCAGCCUGAGCUAACAUCUGCUGCCAAUCCUCCUCUUUUUGCUGAGGAAGACUGACCCUGAGCCAACAUCCGUGCCCAUCUUCCUCCCCUUUAUAUGCAGGACGCCUACCACAGCAUGGCUUGAUGAGCGGUCAUGUCCACCGGGAUCUGAACUGGCCAAUCCCAGGCCAACGAAGCAGUACAUGUGUACUCAACCUUUGCACCACCGGGCUGGCCCCAGAAGCUCCAUCUUUUGAGUUCCCUCCUUAUUGUGGGUCACUAUGCCAGGGGUGGGGUGAGACUGUAUCCCAGCUCUCCUACCCACUCUGAUGUGGAUGUGGUUUUCUUCUCAUUUGCCUGCUGUGUAGUCAUCACUCAGCCAGUCUUUAUGUUUUUUCAAGAGGAAAUUGUUCCAAAUGCAGCUGUAGACUCAAGUGUGUCUGUGCGAGGGGGCGAGUUCAGGAUCUUCCUAGGUCGCCAUCUUGAACCAGAUCUUUUCUAGAUGGAGUUUUAAACAAUCUUCAAAUCAUGCAAAAGGGAUGAGCUUGCUGCAGGUUUUUAGAGAAAGUCAUAGGAAAUGAUCCUUUUAAGUAGCAUUAAGGCUCAAAGAGUUAUCCCGAAGGCAUGAAACAUUUCCAAGGUUUUCCUAAGUGCUCCUUGAGACAAUGGCGCCUCGAUGAUUGAGAUUUGAACUCCUGUGAUCUGCUUAAUACUGACAAGGUUAUUCUAAGGGCGUUGUGCUCUCAAACAUGAGCAGCAUUUCAUUACCCCAGAUUUAAAUGCCAAGAGUUUGCCUGCUGUUCCCAAGCAUAGUGAAAUAUAGCCUGGUCCAGCAGGUCAGAGGCCCUUACUUGUGGAUUUGGCCCACUGUGAACACGAAAUGCUACGUCUUUACAGCCCCAGCAUUUGAAAUGGCCUUUCAGUUCUUAAUUAGUAGAUGCUUUCUCUACCACUGGCGACCUGGGACUGACGUGAAGGAGAAUUUGCGUAGUUCGCAGGGGGGCCUGGGAGAGCCAUUAUCAGUCACAGUGUGUUAGAAAUGAGAGAUUGCAGAAAAGAUGAUUAAAGCCCCAGCGGCAGCCUUCACAAAUGAACUUCAGGAGAAAAAGCAGUUUUAGUGUAAAUGUGGCAAGUCUUCAUAUUGGAGCUUGAUGAAA